ACACUCUUACUGGUCGGAAUCUUUCUCUGUGUGCCAUGUUCAUCAUGUCUUUAUCGUUCUUUGUUAUUAUUGACAAGUAUUUCCCUCAGGAAAGUGAUGAAGAUGCCAGAAAAACAAAUGAGCUGAGAGUAGAAACUUCAACAAUAAGCCAUGUAAGACAAGAGUAUUGUUUUCUGUCUGUCCCUCAAGACAUGGAUGUUGUUCACUCCCAUGGACUAACGGAAGGGCAGAGUUUCAUCUCCAUUCUCUCCUUUGCACUGAAACACAACACUACUGGUGUAUUAACUGAAGAUCUGCUGACACUUCUAAAGUUACAUUCUGCUGGGACAAGUGCAGUUCCAACAAGCAAGUACUUUUUGGAAAAACCAUUAGCUGGUAUUGUAGAUACAUUUCAACGCCAUCACUACUGCAGAGUAUGUACUAAGUACCUUGGCACUUCUCAAUCAGAAGAAGGGACCUUAACAUGUGUGUCAUGUUUGUCAUCCAUCACAGCAAAAGACAGUUUACACGGAGGACAUUUCUUUAUCAGUAUUCCGUUAAAGGAUCAACUUAAAGAUAUUCUUGAAAAUCAGGAAAGAACUUCAGCAUAUUGCUCACCUGUGGAACACCCACAUCAUUCAGAGAAGCAGAAAUGCAGUUGCACCUAGUGGCCGGCCUCACAUGAUGUACAUGCUUCCUCAGCUUUUUGGGGAAAGGACCAUCUCAAACAUGCAUCUGUGCAAGCAGUACAAACAUGCAGAGCACAAUGCAUACAACGAGGACCUUACCCAUGUGAUGAGACUGCCAUCCACUGGAAGGAUAAGGUGAACACAGACAACUUCCUUCAUCUCCCAUCCACAAUUGAACUGUAUCUAUUUUUAAGAACUUGCAUACGUAAAGAUUAGUGAAAUAAGCUAUCCUGGCUCGUAAAGCACCACCUGCAUUAAUAUUUUUUUAUUCAUAUUGUCCACAGCCCCCCCCACCAGCAUCCUGGGCUGACAGGAGACUCCCACGCCAAACCCAACGGGAGAGCAGGCGCAGGGCGAAGGCGGAGGAGGAGGGGAGGACGAGACAGGGGACAGAGAGCAAGAGGAAAGAGUGGCAGAGAAACAUGCAGGCCCCCAGCCCCAAGGGCCACCCAGACGUGCACGGAGGAGGCAGGAGAGUAACACCAAACCACCCAGGGACCACGAGAGCACCCGAAAGGGACGCACGCCCGCGCAGAGGCACCCAACACACCCCAGCAAGCCACCCAGGUCAAGGCCACCCCACAAGCCCAUGGAGGUCCAGGACUACAGUUAGAUCAGUGUGUUAGUAAAGAGUGGUGCUGGCAGUCGCUUGCAGGCUAGAUCAUCAGGCUAAAAACGAAAAAUCAAGAUUCAAUGCAAUUAGACCUGUAUAUAUUGUUGAAACAACAACAAAAAGAGGCUUUAAAACUGUAAGUCUGUACCGUACUACACAAUGUUUUCAUCUGGUGGCUCUGUUUAGGGAAAAAGAACUACGCUUGUCACGCUAUUGUCGUCAGGUCCGCUCAUCGUUUGAGUGGUUUGCGUGUUUGUCCCGCUCCGCUCAGCCACCAGAACUCAAUCGUCUGGUGAGCACUUCCAGAUUAAUCACCUUUAUGAAAAAUACAAGGAGAUUAAGAUAGAUUCCAGGCUAGCCCACUCAUGUCUUUUGCACCAAGGCGAGGCAAAUUUAUUUGUAUAGCGCAUUUCAUACACAAGGCAACUCAAUGUGCUUUACAUGAUCAAAAAGUGCAACAGGAAACAUUCAACAGCUUAAAAUCAAUAAGAACAUUAAAGUCGGCAAAAAAUAAAAAUAAUCAAUAAACACA
rnacentral:lncRNA from 1 species